AUUGAACGCUGGCGGCAGGCCUAACACAUGCAAGUCGAACGCGUGGCGGACGGGUGAGUAAUGUCUGGGAAACCGCCUGAUGGAGGGGGAUAACUACGGGACACUGUAGCUAAUACCGCAUACCCUCAGAUGUGCCCAGAUGGGAUUGGCUAGGUGGUGGGGUAACGGCUCACCAAGGCGACGAUCCCUAGCUGGUCUGAGAGGAGGACCAGCCACACUGGAACGUAGACACGGUCCAGACUCCUACGGGAGGCAGCAGUGGGGAAUAUUGCACAAUGGGCGCAAGCCUGAUGCAGCCAUGCCGCGUGUAUGAAGAAGGCCUUCGGGUUGUAAAGUACUUUCAGCGGGGAGGCGUUACCCGCAGAAGAAGCACCGGCUAACUCCGUGCCAGCAGCCGCGGUAAUAC
rnacentral:rRNA from 1 species